UGUGUUGUCCAAAAGAAGAGAGAAAACUAAUUUUGAAAAUAAUAGAAUCAAACAAGCCCUAAUAUUUUUCCUCAAUGAUUGUACUGUGAAGAUGUUGAGACAGAAGAUUCAGAUCAAGAAGAUUGAUAACUUGAUGGCACGCCAAGUCACUUUUCAAAGAGAAUAAGAGGGGUUUAAAAAAGGCUCAAGAACUCUUUCUGAUGCUGAGACUGCCCUAAUUGUUUUUUUGCAACUGGUAGACUCAUCCAUUAUUGUGGCUCAAGGUUCUCUAAUUUCCUCUCUUCUCUCUCUUGAACACGCACACACAAUAUGCUACUGGGUCGAAGCUUUGAUGCUUUUGGCUACUGUGUUUCAAUCGCUUAGCUAGUUUUGUAUGAAAACUAAAGAUUUUAAUGGGCUAAAACCACAGAAAACUUCUUUUGAGAAGGUACGAAUUAAUUAGGCAGUAAUGGAAAUUAUACGGUAGAGAAUUGUAGCUCGGAUAUGGAUGCAAAUAAUCUACAAGUGUUAUACAAAGAAUCGAACAAAACUAGGGGCGAAGGGUACAUUGAUAUAUAUCAAAUGUUUUUCUCCAGUGUGCUUUUGUAAACUAGCUUCUGAUGAAGGGGAGGGGGCAGGGCAGAAUGUAUAGUUGAACAACAAUAAUCAUAUAGAAAAAUGUGAACACAGGGAUGGAACAAAAUAAAAAGUAUUCUCGUAGCUCAGUGGUGUUUUUAACAAAUCUUUUGAUCAUUAAUAGUGGGUGAAUGUUAUUGAAUAGGUUCAUUUUGAGAGUCAAUGUGGGACUCUGGGCAGUAUAAGUUAUGAGUGCAAUAGCGCCCUCUAUGAGAGAUGGCUUGGUUUUUCCUUUUUUUUUUUUUUUUUUUUUUUUUUUUUUUUUUUUUUGUUUUGUUUUUGUUUUGGUCUAAGGUUCAUGCUUUGUACCUUAAACAUGUGAGAUAUUAGGUUUUUUCCUAUCCAAUAUUGUCUUAUGAGAACAUACUCCUUUCGACAUAUCUUUAAGCUUUAAAAUAAUGUGGUUUAAAAUGGUAUCAUAUCAUGCCAAUAUCUUAAGUUGAUGUCUUUAGCCGCCCAUAAUUAUGAAAUUUGUGCAUGCCUCGCACCUUCAACAUGAAAGUACCGAUUCCAGCUUGCACUAGAAAAUCCAUUGGUUUACUAUUCAAUCAGAUCUCUCAUAGCUAUAUUGGUUUUUUCUAUUGCUUAAACAAGACGUAGACCUAUUGAAGUUUCAAACAUUAGUGUCUAACGUCUAUAUAUGGAAUGGAAAAUCUUUCUACAAGUAGUUAUCAACAUCUACGAGGACAAUUUAUGUCAUCUAAUAGCUUAAAUGGUUAAACAACAUAUAUUCCAUUGUUCCAAAGUGACACUAGGAAAAUAUUUCACACUUGUAAACACACAAGGUCCCUAUAAUUCUUAGCUGGCACUUGAAAGGUAAAAACUGAAAACUAAUAUAUAGUUCUACUUGCUUCAUUUUUUAUGUACUCUUUCUUUUUGAUAUUACUAAUAAAAAGUUGGGGAUCAGUAGAUGAUGAGGGUGGUAAAGAGGUGUCAACCUAGUCGGAACAUCCUGGUGUACAACAAAUUCCUAUAAUUUCAGCAGUCUUAUGCAAACACAUAACUGUAGCUGCGUGCAUUUUAAAUUAACCUUCUAGAAUAUAGUAUGGUUGAAUAUAUUUACUAAAGUAAAAAGAAUCGUCUUACUGUUGAAUUUCGUAUUGAUUACAAAACAUGCAUUAAGUCGUAACUUUGAGUUGUGUAUUUGGUAGCAAACUCGCAUUCUAUUUAUAGAAGUAUUAGAUUUUGAUUUCAUCUGCCAUGUAUUAUUCUGCAGCAUAAUGCAACUAAUUGAAAGGCAUAGAAGGCAAUCAGAGAACUCCAACAAAUUAGGGCAACCGUCCCUCCAACUUUAGGUGAGAUAUACCAUUUAUAAACAAUUCAACUUUAAAUUGUUGUUCGUGUUUAUGCUUCAUAUACUGUAAUUAUAACCAGAAAAUAAAGAUAAAUAAGACUUCAGAAUCAAAUUAAUGCAUUCAAUUUUAAACAUUGCCAUAUGAGUUUAAAUAUUGAACACAGAUUGUUUCCAGCGCAUUAAAUGUAGAUUUAUGUUUCCUCCAUGUGGUCAAUUAAAUCUAUAAUGCAAAUAGUCCGUUUAAUUUAAGAUUAUAUUGUUCAAUUUUAUUAUUAUAAUUAAUUAGUCUUUUAUCAUUUUAUUAGGAUUAGGAGUUUAAUCAAAAUAAGUAAUUUUUCUUGAGUUUCUUUUGCUUAAAAGUCUAGUAAGGAGUUUUGCAUAAAUUUGGUGUUAUAAUUGUAUUGUAGGAUGAUUGAUUUUUAAUAUGAAUAGAAAGUUUGAGAUUUUCCUUCAAUUAUCCACCUAAAUGAUUAAUUCGUACGCGAAUUUUCAUUUUUAAUCCCAUAUUUGUUAUCGUUUAAGCUUUUGCAUGUGUUAGUUGAUAUCAUAGUUAGUCUAUGCUUCUAAUAAUGGAUCAAGGAGGACGAGAUAAACGUCUUGUUUUCAUGGUUGAUAAUGGGAACCGUAGACAUGAGCUUAUACAAAUUGUCAAUAUCUUGAGGUCGUGACACAAAAGGUGGGCAGAUUGGUUAUCUUUCCAUAAUAGAUGGUGAGUGACCUUUAUGAUGAUGAUAGGCCAGAGGCACGAGGUGGUGGCCAUGACGUGCAUGUUAUGGCUGCGGGAGACUGGUGCAAUGAUGGGUUUAGUCACGAGCCUGACUGUAGAUAUGUUGCAAAUGGAAAACUCAAAGAUGGAGAGUGUUCCAAUAAUUGAGGGGCUAACGUUGGUUAUGAGAUUGGCGAGCAACGCCCAUGGGGACAAUGAUUCAUAUUGUUGUACGGAUGUUGAGAUGGAGUUGGACACAAAUUUAUAAAUCUUCGAGGAAGAAUUGAUGUCAAGAUUCUCGAGAAACUUGAUAUGGAUCAACUUACUGAUUUUGAGAAUCAAUUCUCAAUGUCAAAAGAUGACCAUCAUGAAAUUAUGGCAGUUGGAAAAAUUGAAACCACAAUGAUGCAAAUAUAAUAAUUUUCACACUUGAAUGGUCAGUUUCCUGUAGAAUGCCACAUGGUUGAACAAGUCAUAGGAUCAAAUAUACUUGGACCAUUUGGAAAUUCCAAAAUUUCGUGACGGACCAACUCUAAAUGUUUCAGUGAAUUUGUUGGGAAACAGUGGGAUAUAUUUCAGUAAUUGCACAAACUUUUUCACGAUCUCUAGAAUUAAGAUAUAUGGAUAAUAUCUUUGACAUUGACGUAUCAGUUAAAUCACCGUCCCUACUAAUUAAUUUCCUAAUCCACUCUCAAACAAAUAAAUAUCUUGUCCAUUCUCAACUAGUUUCAGAUUGCCUAAUCAUUCUUCUUAAUUACUUACAAUCAUUUCUUUCAUGUCUUUCUUUCAUUUAUCAUCUAGAAUGGCAUCAUUGAAAUCAAUAACCGCAUGAUCGUCAAAUAGACAAAACAAAGUUAAUUUCCUAAGAUGUUGAUAUAACUCCUCUGCACCAAAUCUCCCGAAGACUUCUAAAAUGAUGUGGUAUUUUACUUGAAAAUGAUGAAGAUGAAUGUAUAUCUUGACCAUAAUUUGGAGGUGGAAUUGACGGUGUUAGUUGAGGCAGAAUCACAACAACUUGUUCAUCAUCAUCGAAAGGAAAAAAUUAUCGUAUAAUCUUGCUGAUUUUGCCAAUUCCAAUGUCGAACUCAACAUCUCUACUAGUGAUCACCUACUUAUUCAUUGGGUUGUAUAGCUUAUUACCUUUUGAAUCUUGAACAUAGCCAACUAAGAUAUAUUUCUCUCUUGCAUCUAGUUUUAUCCUUUCUUUCAGAACACGAGAUGAAGCAACUAUCUCAGAAAUCCAAAAAUAUGAUACACCUGGCUGGAAUUCAUUCCAUGCUUCUUUAGGAGUCAUUUUGCACAUUUCGAUGGGACAGCGAUUCAACAAAGAUACGGCACAUUGAGCAGCUUCAGCCUGGAACUUCUGUUGCAUCUUCUUAGUUUUCAAAAUAUUUCGAGUCAUUUUUAUGAGUCUUACUCUUCCACUUUGCUAUUAAAGAAUGUUAAAUACCAUGAUCUUUGUAUAUACUCUUGAAUGUGUUGCUAAUAUAUUCACUACCACGAUUUGAGUAUGAGGUUUUGAUUUUGUGACACUUUGA
rnacentral:lncRNA from 1 species